UGGUGAAGCUGCCAGACAGCUGUUUGGGAAGUGAAACUAACAUGCAGGUAUGUUCCAAAGUGCCACUAGAAAAGAAUUUAAGCUUCUACUCUAAAUAUAUAUAUAUAUAUGUGUGUGUGUGUGUGUGUGUGUGUGUGUGUGUGUAUGCGCAGAUGGCAUGGAAACUGCCAG